GAUGAAGAACGCAGCGAAAUGCGAUAAGUAAUGUGAAUUGCAGAAUUCAGUGAAUCAUCGAAUCUUUGAACGCACAUUGCGCCCCUUGGUAUUCCGAGGGGCAUGCCUGUUCGAGCGUCAUUAUAACCCCUCAAGCUCAGCUUGGUGUUGGGGCCUGCUGCACUGGCAGCCCUUAAAAUCAGUGGCGGCGCCAUCUGGCUCUAAGCGUAGUAAUUCUUCUCGCUAUGAAGUCCUGGUGGAUGCUUGCCAUCAACCCCCAAUUUUUCUAUGGUUGACCUCGGAUCAGGUAGGGAUACCCGCUGAACUUAAGCAUAUCAAUAAGCGGAGGA
rnacentral:misc_RNA from 1 species